AUUGAACGCUGGCGGCAUGCUUUACACAUGCAAGUCGAACGGUAGAGGGGCAACCCUUGAGAGUGGCGAACGGGUGAGUAAUGCAUCGGAACGUGCCCAGUAGUGGGGGAUAGCCCGGCGAAAGCCGGAUUAAUACCGCAUGAGACAUGAGGGUGAAAGCGGGGGAUCGCAAGACCUCGCGCUAUUGGAGCGGCCGAUGUCAGAUUAGCUAGUUGGUGGGGUAAAGGCCUACCAAGGCGACGAUCUGUAGCUGGUCUGAGAGGACGACCAGCCACACUGGGACUGAGACACGGCCCAGACUCCUACGGGAGGCAGCAGUGGGGAAUUUUGGACAAUGGGCGCAAGCCUGAUCCAGCCAUGCCGCGUGCGGGAAGAAGGCCUUCGGGUUGUAAACCGCUUUUGUCAGGGAAGAAAUCUUCUGGGCUAAUACCCUGGGAGGAUGACGGUACCUGAAGAAUAAGCACCGGCUAACUACGUGCCAGCAGCCGCCGUAACAC
rnacentral:rRNA from 1 species